rnacentral:rRNA from 1 species
UGCUAAUACAUGCAAGUAGAACGCUGAAGAGAGGAGCUUGCUCUUCUUGGAUGAGUUGCGAACGGGCGAGUAACGCGUAGGUAACCUGCCUUGUAGCGGGGGAUAACUAUUGGAAACGAUAGCUAAUACCGCAUAACAAUGGGUGACACAUGUCAUUUAUUUGAAAGGGGCAAUUGCUCCACUACAAGAUGGACCUGCGUUGUAUUAGCUAGUAGGUGAGGUAACGGCUCACCUAGGCGACGAUACAUAGCCGACCUGAGAGGGUGAUCGGCCACACUGGGACUGAGACACGGCCCAGACUCCUACGGGAGGCAGCAGUAGGGAAUCUUCGGCAAUGGGGGCAACCCUGACCGAGCAACGCCGCGUGAGUGAAGAAGGUUUUCGGAUCGUAAAGCUCUGUUGUAAGUCAAGAACGAGUGUGAGAGUGGGAAGUUCACACUGUGACGGUAGCUUACCAGAAAGGGACGGCUAACUACGUGCCAGCAGCCGCGGUAAUACGUAGGUCCCGAGCGUUGUCCGGAUUUAUUGGGCGUAAAGCGAGCGCAGGCGGUUUGAUAAGUCUGAAGUUAAAGGCUGUGGCUCAACCAUAGUUCGCUUUGGAAACUGUCAAACUUGAGUGCAGAAGGGGAGAGUGGAAUUCCAUGUGUAGCGGUGAAAUGCGUAGAUAUAUGGAGGAACACCGGUGGCGAAAGCGGCUCUCUGGUCUGUAACUGACGCUGAGGCUCGAAAGCGUGGGGAGCGAACAGGAUUAGAUACCCUGGUAGUCCACGCCGUAAACGAUGAGUGCUAGGUGUUGGAUCCUUUCCGGGAUUCAGUGCCGCAGCUAACGCAUUAAGCACUCCGCCUGGGGAGUAC